GACGUAGGGCGCGAGCGUUGUCCGGAUUUAUUGGGCGUAAAGAGCUCGUAGGCGGUCUGUCGCGUCGGAUGUGAAAAUCCAGGGCUCAACCCUGGACCUGCAUUCGAUACGGGCAGACUAGAGUUCGGUAGGGGAGACUGGAAUUCCUGGUGUAGCGGUGAAAUGCGCAGAUAUCAGGAGGAACACCGGUGGCGAAGGCGGGUCUCUGGGCCGAAACUGACGCUGAGGAGCGAAAGCGUGGGGAGCAAACAGG
rnacentral:rRNA from 1 species